AGCCCAGGAACUUCACAGUGCUGAGCCUGCUUCAAGCUGUGGUUUAAAACUGAAUGAUGGUUCUAUAACUGAUCUGAUCUCUAUGUUUCAUGUUACUGCCUUGUGUCAGAAAAGCCCAGGAGACUUCUACUGGAAGCACAGUCAGUGAUGUAGUAGGAGAUGGGAAAGAACAUUUUCAUUAAAAUGCUUGAAGUUUAGUAUACUUCAAAGAGAAAUGUUAUAUUUUCCUACCUGAUAUACAAUUCUUGCAAACAAGGAAACCAAAACCAUCCUGAACUUCAAAUCAUUCUCUACCAUCUCCCAAACAGCCUCUUUAAAUCUGCUGUUUAGCAGCAAAGGGAGGAAGUUGUUAUUCUCCACAAGUACAGUGAUGUUUUGCAAAGGAGUCAUAGUUGAAGCAUAGUAAAUUGUGAGGACAUCAUGACUGCUAUGGAGCUCUGAUUAUUUAUGUUUGUGAACAUGUGUUUGUAUGUGCUGCUUCUGCUCUCCAUCAUCUGGUCUGGGAGUAUUGUGUCUGCAUCUUAUGAAACACAACAAAAUCCCAUCUCUGCUGAAAGAGGGAUUAGAGUAUGUCUUUUCUCUGUCAAGUCUGCUGACAGCAGCGUUGGAGAGAUAGGAAUAUAAACUCAGGAAUGCCAGGUUUAUUUUCUCCCAAAAGAACAUCGGGGAAGUAUGAAAAACGUGAGUUUGGGAAGAGCAAAAAAGAGUGAGAAACUGUGCAAGUGCUAAAUCAGUGUUCAUCAUUACCUGCUCCAGGAAAGACAGAAUUGCUCACAGAACAGAUCCUAGGAGGGGACAGAAGUAGCACAUGGAUUCAGUCCACAAUAUAUAUCUAGUAGGGUCACAGAUAUAGAUCUUCUGUUCACAGCACACAGCCGUGAAAGGAUGGAGUCCCAGCUUCCUUGCUUGGGUGCAGUGUGUUCUUGUAACUCAUUCUAAGAAAUGGAGCUGACGGGGAGCCAGACCUGAGGACAGCCAAACAGUAGACCUACAACCAGCCAGCUCAUGCUGAAUCUCAAAGUGUGAAUACCCUAUCCAAUGGAGAGAUAUCAGAAGAGUAUGCAGGAAAAGCUGAAACAGUCUCUUGAAAAUAAAGGAAAAUUUUAAACGGAAUGCCACAUUCAGAAUUUCACUGGACAAGGUCCUGAACAACCUAGUAUAUUUUUGAAGCUGGACCUGCUUUGUGAAGAGUGUUAGAGAAGAUGAUUCACAGAAGUCCCUUUGGAACAGAAUUAUUCUAUGAUUUUAUUCUGUGAUCUUUCAGCAUCUGACAGGAGCACAACUACAUGCGAUGCCCCCAACAGAGAGAAAAAAAGAAAGGAAUGUUCUUGUUGUGAACCUGGAAUGAAAGAAGACAAUGAAAAUGCUGAAACUUCACCACCUCUGCCUGUGCCUGCAGGAGAUAGAGCAGAGAGCUGUUAGUAAGUAGGUGCUCUCUGGAACUGCCUUU